rnacentral:rRNA from 1 species
GCUUGUCUCAAAGAUUAAGCCAUGCAUGUCUAAGUGUAAAUAAGUCUAUACUGUGAAACUGCGAAUGGCUCAUUAAAUCAGUUAUCGUUUAUUUGAUGAUCUCUUACUACUUGGAUAACCGUAGUAAUUCUAGAGCUAAUACAUGCAUUCAAGCCCCGACUUCUGGAAGGGGUGUAUUUAUUAGAUAAAAAUCAACUUUGUUGGUGAAUCAUAAUAACUUCUCGGACCGCAUGGCCUCGUGCUGGCGGUGCUUCAUUCAAAUAUCUGCCCUAUCAACUGUCGAUGGUAGGAUAGAGGCCUACCAUGGUUGCAACGGGUAACGGGGAAUAAGGGUUCGAUUCCGGAGAGGGAGCCUGAGAAACGGCUACCACAUCCAAGGAAGGCAGCAGG